rnacentral:rRNA from 1 species
AUUGAACGCUGGCGGCAUGCCUUACACAUGCAAGUCGAACGGCAGCACGGGCCAACUGGGUGCCGGUUGCCGGCGGGGGAGGAAAGGCACGGGAACGUACCUUUCGGGGGGGGAUACGGUGGCGAAAAAUACGCAAAUCCCGAAUAUUCUGUAAGCAGGAAAGCAGGGAACGGCAAAACCUUGCGUUGAUGGACCGGCCGAUGUCAGAUUAGCUAGUUGGUGAGGUAAAGGCCAACCAAGGCGACGAUCUGUAGCGGGUCUGAGAGGAUGAUCCGCCACACUGGAACUGAGACACGGUCCAGACUCCUACGGGAGGCAGCAGUGGGGAAUUUUGGACAAUGGGGGCAACCCUGAUCCAGCCAUGCCGCGUGAGUGAAGAAGGCCUUCGGGUUGUAAAGCUCUUUCGGCCGGGAAGAAAUCGCACGGGCUAAUACCCUGUGUGGAUGACGGUACCGGAAUAAGAAGCACCGGCUAACUACGUGCCAGCAGCCGCCGUAAUAC